CAACAACCAUAUGUCUUUAUUUCCUGUUAGCUCCAUUUCUGGCCUUUGGUCUCUUUCUCGGAAAGCAGGCCUCAGUGGCCUCAGUUUCUUCCCAGAACCUGCAAUGCCCCACCAAGGUGACAAGAAGUGCAAGGAGUCGGUUUUCACUGCCAACCAAAGAGGUGACCCCCGCAAAGCAACCAUGUUGGGACAGUCCAUUUGCUGCGUUUUGAUUAUUUGCUAAGAGCAAAUACCUUUUCUGUUUGGGUUUUGCUUUUAGAAAAAAAAUGUGGCAGAUGGUGGUGGCUUUCCCCGUCAUUGAAAGAAGAAAGGUAGUAACUCUACUGGUGCACUCCUCUGAGUUGUGCUAACAAAGAAGAAUGCUGAAAGAAAAGGGAAAUGAACACCAUUUUCAGGCAGCUUCUCCAAGUUUUUUUGACAGUGUUAUAAUUUUCCUUUAGCGACUGUUGAAGCAAAUAUCUGUAUUUAUGUUCAGAUUAAACCGAGAGAGCAAAGACUGCUAAAGCCAGUAAUUUCUGGGCUGCAAAUGCAGGAUAGCUCCAGUGAAUUUCAGAUUCUUAAAGGUUUUUGCUGUAGCGAAUUCAUGACACAAAGCAUUUGGAGGGAAACCUAUUAGAGAAGAAACACAUCCUAAAUGAGAAUUACUGAGGACGGGAGGCUCUUGUCAUUUAUUGGAUUAGUUAUAGCACUUUACACAAGCCUGUAAUAUUUGUUCUGCUGCUGUGGUGUGACUGGUAAAAUGAAAAGGUAUGUCAAGGGAGUGCUUGACUGACGUUCUUAUUUCUUCCGUCUUCUUAUAUUGCUGGGAGGAUUCUACCACUGCAGGGCUAGAAAUUAAUAUCACACUCAUUUGAUAGGAAGAGCAAAAGCAAGGUUAUGAGUCAGAGACAUUUUGGUCCCAGAACAAUAACUCUAUUGAUUGAGUCAAAUAUGUUUAACUCCAACAGCAAGACCUUCCAUCUGCGUGAAAUAAUCAUGUCCGUUAAUUGUAAACAGGAGCAUCUUUGAAAGCUGAGCUAGAGGCGGAGCAACUGGUAAACCAGAUGUCCCAAAUUUCUAGUCCUUAAGAUCAAGUCCGCAAUGGAAGAAGAGCAUUCAUCUGGUACAGGUUGAUGAUUGUGUAAGCCCAAGGAGUGAUGUCAACACUGGGGUUCACCUGAGAACAUGGACAUGGUUGAUGAGGGUUUAGGAGAUGCUCAUACGAAGUCUUCAUAUGUUCCCUGGAUCCCAGCUCUGCCUUCCCACCAGAGAGGAUGUAAUUCAGCCGAGAUGCCCAGAGUCAGCUCUCUGCUCAUAUCUGUUCCGCACUGAAGCCAAUCAUCUGAGAAACCUAAGAAGUGUUUAAUGUAGUUAGGAAAGUGAGGGAUGAAGACCAUAAAUUCCUUUUCAUGUAGCAGAGUAUAUAUGUGAUACUCAUUCUGUGGUAUUUGGGGCAUAAACAAGAGUCGAUGAAGGAAUGUGAAAGUACUCGAAAUCCUGACUUUUAUCUCUAUAAAAAUGGCAUAGGGAUGAAACACACUUGGUUGUUAUGACUGUACUCUUUUCAGAUUUACUACUUGCCUUUCUACUGAUUUUUCUGUGCCACAGGUCUUGACUCCUGUAGGCUAAAUUUCUCAGCCUCUUCUGCUCACUGAUAUAUGGGAAGGUUUGGCCAAAGGUGGGUGACUGGUGGGGAGAAGGAUGAGGGAAUUCAGGGGAUUGCUGAGCCCAUUCUCUAGACAGUGCUGCUGGCACUGGCUCUGUCUUCUCCGUUUCCAUCUCGCAUCAGACGGUUCUUCCCUCUAUGGGCCUAGUCCUACCUAGACACUUUCCAGUUGGAUUCCAGUUCUGGGGAUGCUCCCUCCUGCAGGGAUCUAAGUCCUUCCCAUUGUCUUCGGCUCCUGGGCUCAGCUAGAACCAUCUUUUCCCAUUGUCCCUGUGGUGCUAGGGCUUUCAGUGGUUAUUAACGUCUGUGUUGUAUCAUCUUGCCUGAAUUUCAGCUCUCUGUAACCAGUUCCCCAAAUAAAAUUCCCCCCAUUUACCUACCUUCUGUGAGUCUGUUUGCCUGACAUGACCGUAUUAAGUAUACCCGAUAUAUUAGUGAGCUUCGGAUGAUAUCACAAUGUGCCGUAGACUGGGUGGCAUAAAAAACAAAGGAAUGUAUUUCUCAUUGUUCUGGAGCUGGGAAGUCCAAGAUAAAGGUGCUAGCCAAUUCUAUUUCUGAUGAGGGCUCUCUUCCUGGCUUGUGGAUGGCCACCUUGUCACUCUAU
rnacentral:lncRNA from 10 species